GAGUUUGAUCCUGGCUCAGAACGAACGCUGGCGGCAGGCCUAGCACAUGCAAGUCGAGCGCGCCUUCGGGUGAGCGGCGGACGGGUUAGUAACGCGUGGGAACGUGCCCUUUUCUACGGAAUAGCCUCUGGAAACGGAGAGUAAUACCGUAUACGCCCUUUGGGGGAAAGAUUUAUCGGAGAAGGAUCGGCCCGCGUUAGAUUAGAUAGUUGGUGGGGUAACGGCCUACCAAGCCUACGAUCUAUAGCUGGUUUUAGAGGAUGAUCAGCAACACUGGGACUGAGACACGGCCCAGACUCCUACGGGAGGCAGCAGUGGGGAAUCUUAGACAAUGGGGGCAACCCUGAUCUAGCCAUGCCGCGUGAGUGAUGAAGGCCUUAGGGUCGUAAAGCUCUUUCGCCUGUGAUGAUAAUGACAGUAGCAGGUAAAGAAACCCCGGCUAACUCCGUGCCAGCAGCCGCGGUAAUACGGAGGGGGUUAGCGUUGUUCGGAAUUACUGGGCGUAAAGCGCGCGUAGGCGGAUUAGAAAGUUGGGGGUGAAAUCCCGAGGCUCAACCUCGGAACUGCCUCCAAAACUGCUAGUCUAGAGUUCGAGAGAGGUGAGCGGAAUUCCGAGUGUAGAGGUGAAAUUCGUAGAUAUUCGGAGGAACACCAGUGGCGAAGGCGGCUCACUGGCUCGAUACUGACGCUGAGGUGCGAAAGUGUGGGGAGCAAACAGGAUUAGAUACCCUGGUAGUCCACACCGUAAACGAUGAAUGCCAGACGUCGGCAAGCAUGCUUGUCGGUGU
rnacentral:rRNA from 1 species